CGAGGGCAAAGAAGAGUAUUCCAGAGGGGCAAGUGUGGCAGGAAAAUUAUAAUGAAUGUUGAGAUGCAAUUGUGAGUGGAUUGCACCAUUUGAGAUGAUCACAAGCUUGAUUACAAGGGAGCCACCAUGCGGAAGAUGGAAGAACCAGCUGGAUCAGUCCAAUGACCCAUCUAGUAAAGCAUUCUGCUCCCACAGAGGCCAACCAGAGGCCUGUGAGAAAUCCUCAAGCAAGACACAAGAGUGCAAGAGCACUCUUCCCUCCAGCGAUUGGUAUUCAGAAGGAUACUGCCUCCAAUUAUGAAGGCAGAGCAUAGCCAUCAUUGGAUUGAUCCCGGGAUGGCCUUCAUGUAAAGUGUGAGCUCUACAUUUGAGCCAGGACAGUCUACAUCAGGGAGAGAGAUCACUGGGGUUUAGCUAUCAAAUAAAUGGACACUUCAGCCCAUAUCAUCUGUCUGCAUUAAGGGGGAAUAUAACUGUCAUCUAUGCAAGCUAUAGUAAAGGAACAGUAGCUUCUGGCUCUUGCUAUCAAAAGAUCAAAAGGAAAUGGCAGGGCAUCGGGAGAAGGCAAAAUCACAACCUCUCCCUGGGCAGCUUGCAAGUGGAUAUCUCAUGUACAAGUUAGGACAGGCAUUAAAUUGGUCAUGCUUCAACUCUUGAUUUUGUUUGCAUUUAACAUCUGCACUUCAGCUUUGGCCUCGAGCCUUUUGUCCUUUUCGUAGCCCUCCUCAACAAAGCCGUGGAAAGCUGAUCCCCUAUUUACAAUAACAGUCCCAGAUUGAGAGGUCAUUCCUCACAGCAAAAUCCAGCACUGACAUUGUUUCAUAUAAUAUCGAUUCCCAUAUCCAAGGUGAUACCUUAGCCGUCCUUGCCCAGGUUUCGACGCUGAUGAUUUCAUUAGGGGGACUUGAUGAAGUCAUGAGAAAAACUGCCAGAAGUGUUUAGAUCAUAAUGAGUCUUGUUCCAUGGCAGCUGAUAAAAUCCUCAAACUGGGGGCCAUGUGUUGUUCACAUUUAUUGGAGGCUCUUUAGAACAACUUCCUUUCUGGCAUGAAAGCUUCGGCUUUACUUUUAUGUGUUCGGAUGUUUGGUGCUAUGUGUGCCAAUAGAAACCCUUUCCGGUUUCUGAAUAGCAAUGAGAUUAUUAUUAUUAUUACUACUAUUAUGACAUGUCAGCACAGAAAUAGUGUGCGGGUGUGGCCCUCCCACCUACACUCAGUAAGAUGCAAUAUAUGGCAUAAAACCAGAUGGAUGGCUUUUGAUGCACUGGAGGGGAUAUUCCAAGCUAACUUCCUUCCUCCUGCUAGCCUAUGCUGCUCUUUCUUUUCAAUUUCUCCUGUCCUCCUUACCCUCCAAAGUCCAACGCAACUCUCCUCCCCAUGGCAAUGAAGGGAAGAGUUGCCAUCCCAUUGUGGUUGCUCAGCAACCUUUUAGCCUUGCAAAUGGUGGGCUGGGACUGGAACAGGGCCUAGAAUUUGAUUCAGAUUGCAAUGUGUGUGUGGGAAAGGCACAUUAAUGCUUGGGGGUGUAUUUUCUACCCCAAUGAUAUUUCCACUGUACAGGGGGUUGUUUUCAAUUACAAACAACAAAAACUAUCUUUUACAGUGAAAAUGUUAUGAAUAUAUUGUAGGCAGUCUAGAAAAAAACUUUAUUACAACUCAGAACUAACAUCAACUAACAUUAAUGGUUUCGUGGGGCAUUUCUCUGGCUCCAUUAAGAAACGUACAAGAAAACUGUCCUUGCUUGGAGAAAUAUGGUUUGUGACAACCAAUUGACACCUCACACACUUUCUUGACCUUACUUGACCUUUCCCUGACCAUUUGCUUAUGAAAAAAUGAUGAAGUGUUUUACUACCCAUUGGCUGAGGUAAUGAACACACCCUCAUGGCAAAAUUAGAUGCAUUUUUCAGUCAUUUCAUGCCACAGGUGUUUGUUUUUGCCAGAAGGAAAACAGUAAGUGGCAACUGAGUGAAAUUUGGAGGUGUUGCACAGGUAACCAUUUGUGACACUGUUAUAGAAGGAUUGCCCUGUAGGUUCACUUAUGUGUGAAUUUCACAAUGGAAAGUGUGUUGGGAAGGCUUUGUGUGGCCAUAAUUGAAUGAAGGUUGAAGAUGAAUCUUACCUAAUUGGUGCUUUCUGAAUCAACACAGUGUAUGAGAGAUUCAAGGGGCCACAUCUGGGCUCACAGCAAUGAUGGGCUAAUGAGCCCACUCCACUUUUUCCGUAAUCCUAGGGGAAUGGCAACCCACACUUUGGGAAACCAUGAUCCACGGAACACAAACAUAUAUGCACGCCCAUAACUCCUCGAUGAUGUCCCUUCCGCAUAUCUGGCAAACUCGUAUUUCAGCAUGGAUAGG